GACGAACGCUGGCGGCGUGCUUAACACAUGCAAGUCGUACGGUAAGGCCCUUUCGGGGUACACCAGUGGCCAACCGGUGAGUUACACGUGAGUUACCCUCCCACCACCUUUGGGUAACGCCAAGGAACUUGUGCCAAUUCCUGAUUAGUUGUUCUUCCUCCUUGUGGGGGUUGGGAAACCCCGGCGGUUGUGGAUGGACUCGCGGCCUAUCAGCUUGUUGGUGGGGUAGUGGCCUACCAAGGCGGCGACGGGUAGCCGGCCUGAGAGGGUGACCGGCCACAUUGGGACUGAGAUACGGCCCAGACUCCUACGGGAGGCAGCAGUGGGGAAUAUUGCACAAUGGGCGCAAGCCUGAUGCAGCAACGCCGCGUGCGGGAUGACGGCCUUCGGGUUGUAAACCGCUUUCAGCAGGGACGAAGCUUUUUGUGACGGUACCUGCAGAAGAAGCACCGGCUAACUACGUG
rnacentral:rRNA from 1 species